rnacentral:rRNA from 1 species
CCUACGGGAGGCAGCAGUGAGGAAUAUUGGUCAAUGGACGCAAGUCUGAACCAGCCAUGCCACGUGCAGGAUGACGGCUCUAUGAGUUGUAAACUGCUUUUGUACGAGGGUAAACCCCGAUACGCGUAUCGGGUUGAAAGUAUCGUACGAAUAAGGAUCGGCUAACUCCGUGCCAGCAGCCGCGGUAAUACGGAGGAUCCGAGCGUUAUCCGGAUUUAUUGGGUUUAAAGGGUGCGUAGGCGGUUGGAUAAGUUAGAGGUGAAAUGUCGGGGCUCAACCCCGGAACUGCCUCUAAUACUGUUGGGCUAGAGAAUAGUUGCGGUAGGCGGAAUGUAUGGUGUAGCGGCGAAAUGCUUAGAGAUCAUACAGAACACCGAUUGCGAAGGCAGCUUACCAAGCUAUAUCUGACGUUGAGGCACGAAAGCGUGGGUAGCAAACAGGAUUAGAUACCCGUGUAGUC